rnacentral:rRNA from 1 species
GAUGAACGCUGGCGGCGUGCCUAAUACAUGCAAGUCGAGCGAACGGACGAGAAGCUUGCUUCUCUGAUGUUAGCGGCGGACGGGUGAGUAACACGUGGAUAACCUACCUAUAAGACUGGGAUAACUUCGGGAAACCGGAGCUAAUACCGGAUAAUAUCUUGAACCGCAUGGUUCAAAAGUGAAAGACGGUCUUUCUGUCACUUAUAGAUGGAUCCGCGCUGCAUUAGCUAGUUGGUAAGGUAACGGCUUACCAAGGCAACGAUGCAUAGCCGACCUGAGAGGGUGAUCGGCCACACUGGAACUGAGACACGGUCCAGACUCCUACGGGAGGCAGCAGUAGGGAAUCUUCCGCAAUGGGCGAAAGCCUGACGGAGCAACGCCGCGUGAGUGAUGAAGGUCUUCGGAUCGUAAAACUCUGUUAUUAGGGAAGAACAUAUGUGUAAGUAACUGUGCACAUCUUGACGGUACCUAAUCAGAAAGCCACGGCUAACUACGUG